AACGAACGCUGGCGGCAUGCCUAACACAUGCGAGUCGAACGAGACCUUCGGGUCUAGUGGCGAACGGGUGCGUAACGCGUGGGAACCUGCCCUUAGGUUCGGAAUAACUCCCCGAAAGGGGUGCUAAUACCGGAUAAUGUCUUCGGACCAAAGAUUUAUCGCCUUUGGAUGGGCCCGCGUUGGAUUAGCUAGUUGGUAGGGUAAAAGCCUACCAAGGCGACGAUCCAUAGCUGGUCUGAGAGGAUGAUCAGCCACACUGGGACUGAGACACGGCCCAGACUCCUACGGGAGGCAGCAGUGGGGAAUAUUGGACAAUGGGCGAAAGCCUGAUCCAGCAAUGCCGCGUGAGUGAUGAAGGCCUUAGGGUUGUAAAGCUCUUUUACCCGGGAUGAUAAUGACAGUACCGGGAGAAUAAGCUCCGGCUAACUCCGUG
rnacentral:rRNA from 1 species